GGAGGUAGUGACAAUAAAUCACAAUGCGGAACAAUGUUUUGCAAUUGGAUUGAGAACAACGUACAAACCUUAUCGAUAAACAAUUGGAGGGCAAGUCUGGUGCCAGCAGCCGCGGUAAUUCCAGCUCCAAUAGCGUAUAUUAACGUUGUUGCAGUUAAAAAGCUCGUAGUUGAAAUGAAGGGUAGUUGUGUAAUGAAUACAUUCGUGUAUUUUGUUAUUCUACUACCCUCCUUCUAAAUUCGAUAUAUGAGUAUUAAUUUACUUGUAUAUGGUUUUAGACGUUUACUGUGAGAAAAUUAGAGUGUUCAAAGCAGGCAUUUGCUUGAAUAUAUUAGCAUGGAAUAAUCAUGUAUGAUUUUCAUGAUGUAUUUGAUUGGUUUGGUUCAUGAGAAUAAGAUUAAAAGGGACAGUUGGGGGUAUUCAUAUUCAAUAGUCAGAGGUGAAAUUCUCGGAUUUAUGGAAGAUGAACAAUGGCGAAAGC
rnacentral:rRNA from 1 species